AUUGAACGCUGGCGGCAUGCUUUACACAUGCAAGUCGAACGGUAACAGGCCGCAAGGUGCUGACGAGUGGCGAACGGGUGAGUAAUGCAUCGGAACGUGCCCAGUCGUGGGGGAUAACUACUCGAAAGAGUAGCUAAUACCGCAUACGAUCUAUGGAUGAAAGCGGGGGACCGUAAGGCCUCGCGCGAUUGGAGCGGCCGAUGUCAGAUUAGGUAGUUGGUGGGGUAAGGGCUCACCAAGCCAGCGAUCUGUAGCUGGUCUGAGAGGACGACCAGCCACACUGGGACUGAGACACGGCCCAGACUCCUACGGGAGGCAGCAGUGGGGAAUUUUGGACAAUGGGCGCAAGCCUGAUCCAGCAAUGCCGCGUGCAGGAAGAAGGCCUUCGGGUUGUAAACUGCUUUUGUACGGAACGAAACGGCUCUGGUUAAUACCCGGGGCUAAUGACGGUACCGUAAGAAUAAGCACCGGCUAACUACGUG
rnacentral:rRNA from 1 species